rnacentral:lncRNA from 1 species
GGGUGAGAGAGGGAACACAAGCAGGGGGAGUGGGAGAGGGAGAAGAAGCCUUGAGUAUCUUGAACCCCUUGAGUAUCAAGAACCCCUUGAGCAGGGAGCCCGAUGCGGGGCUUGAUCCCAGGACCCUGAGAUCAUGACUCGAGUGGAAGGCAUGACAGAGCUACCCAGGUGCCCCAAUUAUUAUUACUUACUAAAGAUAGUUUUGGUUUUUGAUAAUUGAAGGAAAACACAAAUGCACACACUAAAUCAAGUUGGCAAGAGUGUAGAAUUUGAUGCCAAGUAGGAACUGAACAGAAGAAGCUGGUUUUUAGAUACCUUGAUGUUUGUGGACAAACUAGUAAUAGUAAUAACAAUAUUAAAAGGUUCCCUUUGUUUAUUGAGCAGUGACCUGGUCUUGAGAACUGUGCUAUAAGUUUUUGUGUGCAUUCAUUCCCACAACAACCUUAGGAAGCCAGUUCUCCUAUUAGCCCCAUUUUACAGAUGGGGAGCUGGAACAUUAAUGAGGUUAAGCGGCAUGCCCAGCACUGAAAUACGGAAUAAAUGAGCGAUGAAUUGAGUCUACAGGAAGGCUGCUGUUCAUUCACUGAUUGCCAAGGAGCAGAGGCAUCGGGAGGGACGGAUGGCAGGAGGAGCUGAAGAUGGUGUUAGAGAAGGCAGGCGAAGAACACCAAGGCUGGACCUGUUCUGAGACACAAGGUCAAGAUACUCAAGUUGCUGUGAUGGAAGCUGCCCCAUAGAGAGGUCCACAUGGCAGUGAGGACCUGUGGGCUGCUAACAGCCACAUGACUGAGCCUGGGAGCGGACUAACCCCCAGUUGAACCUUGAGAUGAAGAGUGCAAACUCAUGAGAGACCUCGAGUCAGAUGAACCAACUAGAUCACACUGGAUUCCUGACCUACAGAAGACUAGGAGGUAAUACAUAUUUUAUUGUUUUAAGCCACCCAGGUGUGGG